rnacentral:rRNA from 1 species
GAUGAACGCUGGCGGCGUGCCUAAUACAUGCAAGUCGAGCGAACGGACGAGAAGCUUGCUUCUCUGAUGUUAGCGGCGGACGGGUGAGUAACACGUGGAUAACCUACCUAUAAGACUGGGAUAACUUCGGAAAACCGGAGCUAAUACCGGAUAAUAUUUUGAACCGCAUGGUUCAAAAGUGAAAGACGGUCUUGCUGUCACUUAUAGAUGGAUCCGCGCUGCAUUAGCUAGUUGGUAAGGUAACGGCUUACCAAGGCAACGAUGCAUAGCCGACCUGAGAGGGUGAUCGGCCACACGGGAACUGAGACACGGUCCAGACUCCUACGGGAGGCAGCAGUAGGGAAUCUUCCGCAAUGGGCGAAAGCCUGACGGAGCAACGCCGCGUGAGUGAUGAAGGUCUUCGGAUCGUAAAACUCUGUUAUUAGGGAAGAACAUAUGUGUAAGUAACUGUGCACAUCUUGACGGUACCUAAUCAGAAAGCCACGGCUAACUACGUG